GCCGUGUCCGAUGGGCGCACGGCGCGGGCGGGCUGGGGCGCUCCGGAAGCAGAGGAGGCCAGGGGAAAAUGGCGGCCAGCUCGAAAACAGAGCGGGGCGGCUCGGGCGGAAAGUGGGGCCCGGCGGUCGGGUCCCCAGUCGAGCAGGGGCCGCCACGGGCACGUGGUGAGGCAGCGGGGAACAUGGCAUGGGGCCUGAGGGGCCCCCGAGGGGGGACGGGGGAGCUGAGGGGACGCCGAGAGGGAUGGAGGGCGCUGAAGGACUCAGUGGGCAGCUCUCGCCCCGGCUCUUCCACAAGCUGCCCCCACACAUUUGCAUCUCCCUGAAGAGCAUCUUGGCUGAGGACUUUCUGUGAACGAGUGUGGCUGCUAUGUCCUCUCCUACACCAGCAGCAGUGGCGACAAUGAUUUAUCCUCCUACAUCUAUGACCUGGACUGGUGUGAGCUCAACGUCCAGAGCAAGCUCAAGCUGGUGUGGCAGGUUCCUCUUCCAGGAUGAGGAGACCUACAGCAACCUGUAUCUGACAGUCUGCGAGUGGCCCAGCGACUCCUCCAAGGUUGUUGUCUUCAGCUUCAACACCGGCUCCGCCAACAGCCUCCUUGUCAAUGUGAUGAUGAUGAGCAACAAGAACCACUGGGACAUUUACAUCAGUGCUGUAGCCACACACCCCCCUCCCCAGUUGCCGGGGCACAGCCUUCACCCACCAGGGUGACACCAGCUCCUGCCAAAUCCUCUUGGAGUGCCAGAGCCCACCAGUGCAUCUUGGCAAAAUGACAGAUGACUGAGUGAGAGAGGAACUGAGUGGGGACACCCUGGAUGGCAGAGAGAAGGAUAACGGAGUGCUGCAUAGCGGAGACAGACAGGGGGCUCCGAGGGGAUGAGAGAGAGGGAAAAGAAGAAAAGUGCUACAAGGCGCUGUGGAGAUUGAGGAAGGCUUUUACCUGUCCCUCUUGGCUGCAUCGACCCUGUGAGUGAGGUGAGUGGUGGCAGCAGAAGCAGUGCGAGGGCUGUAGCUGCGGCAGUGGAUCCAUCAGCGUGGAUUCUGGUUACGGCCCAUAUAUUCCCUAAAUAUAUACAUUUGUGUGUGUGUAAAUAGAUGCAUGAGUGUAAAUGUCUGUGCUAUAUAUGGAUUUGUGCAGACAGAAAGGAAAAAUAAAAAAAAAAUUAAUACCAAAAGCCAAAAUCACCAAUUCUUAUGUUGUGGAUAAGGCAUCAGCCCAGCCUCCCUCCCUGAUCUCCAGCAGACGCGCUGCUGUCAACACCCCCCGGCCCUGGUGCCCCACACGGAGCGAUGCAGUGUCCCUGGGGCUUGUUGCGGGGGCAAAACCCCUGGUCCGCAGGUUUUUGGUGCGGAGGCGCUGUCUGUCGCUGCCUGGGCUGCGAAUGCAGAGGGCAGAGCUGGUCCCUGCCUGGACUAAAGCGGGCUGAGAGCGGUCACCGCUCGUCACCCUCACGCGCGCCGGGAGCGGGGUAACCAAGCGGGUGCUGCCGCCCGGCGGCUGGAGGCUGGUCCUGCAGGUGGGGAGCCGCGCGUGCGCUGUGGCCACGCCCCCGCCCCGCCUUGGCCCUGGCCCCCGGCGGCGCUGUGCGCUGGUUCCGCAGCGCGUGCGCGGCUUGGCGGAGGCCGGUCCGGCGGCGGCCGCCGAAGAGCGAAGCAGGACCGCCGGGACUCCGGCGAGCUCCGCGCCACCUGGAGCGGGAUCGGUGCCGCCCGCCUGGCCUCGAGA